CCUGUCAAGCGCCGGCGAAGUCGGGGGAGGGGAGCGGAGGGAAAAUGGGAGGGAAAAGGAGGAAAAACAAGAAGGAAAAGAGGAAAACCGGAGGGCCGGGCCGGGCCGGAUCAGACUAGACCAGACCAGACCGUGGCUGUUUGCCCCUAUCCCGCCGACCCCCGGCCCCUUCGGGAAAGGAGGGGAAGGGGCUCGCCAGGAGUCCCGCCCGCGCUCGGUCAUGGCGCCCCAGGUCCGGGCUUGGGGCUGAGGGAGCCGCGCGUAGGCCGCUCCUGAGCCGCCUCAGCCUCGGGCACGCAAGGGCUACGGCCCCGGCCCUGGCUUCAGGGCGGACUCCUGGGAGCGGACAGCGCAGCUCCCGGCUCGGUUCGGGAUGAGAUGCUCCGGGGGGAGGAAGAGCACUUUAUUUAGGUUUCUGAGCCAUGAUCUGCACAGCGGCCCUCGGUCCAAGCUCCAGCCCUGUAAGAUGCAGUUGUAUUAUGCACCACAAAUAAAUAUGGUUGUUUGAGCUUUG